rnacentral:rRNA from 15 species
CAGGCCUAACACAUGCAAGUCGAACGGUAACAUUUCUAGCUUGCUAGAAGAUGACGAGUGGCGGACGGGUGAGUAAUGCUUGGGAACUUGCCUUUGCGAGGGGGAUAACAGUUGGAAACGACUGCUAAUACCGCAUAAUGUCUUCGGACCAAACGGGGCUUCGGCUCCGGCGCAAAGAGAGGCCCAAGUGAGAUUAGCUAGUUGGUAAGGUAACGGCUUACCAAGGCGACGAUCUCUAGCUGUUCUGAGAGGAAGAUCAGCCACACUGGGACUGAGAC